rnacentral:tRNA from 13 species
UGACCCGUCCGUAGUUUGAACACGCAGCCUUCUGAUCUGGAGUCAGACGCGGUACCGUUGCGCCACCGAGUC